UCAAUGUACAUGGCAGUGGUAGGGAUUGAGGAGAGUUCAAAUCCUGUUCUACCCUCUCCGUUGCCAUCGCCAGCCCUAACCGCUAUUCCUUCUUUAGACUUAUGCUGUGCAUGAAAAGGUUUUCAAUCCCAAACAAAUCCAGCUCAAUCGGUUCAUUCAUUCCUUCAUUUACAUUUUCAGUAGUGUCGUCAAAAUUGACAAUGCCGAAAGGGAAGCAAAGAAAAGUAGAAGAGGAGGAAUCAACAAGAAAAGGAACCCCCAAAAUAGACCUAAUCAGUAGCUUACCGGAUUCCCUGCUUUGCCACAUUCUCUCGUUCCUCCCAACAAGAUGUGCCAUGGCCACCAGCGUCCUCGCUCGCCGGUGGCGCCACCUCUGGAAGGAUCUUCUAGCGUUGGACUUAGACAAUAGUAAACAUAGUCCUUAUUAUCUACCUGGAGGGACACACCGAUUCAUUGCUUUCGUCAAUGCAGUUUUCGCUCAACGCAAGGCUCUCCGUGUCGAGAAGCUUCGCCUCGCUUGUGAUAUACCUAGAGGUGAAAAGAAAACCAUCAAAACAUGGAUUCGUACUGUUGUUGGACCCCACCUCCAAGAGAUGUAUCUCGAUUUAUCGUUUGCUUGCAAUGAGUUUGGGGAUCGACAUAUCAAAUUGCCUGAAGAGGUAUUAACCAGUGCAUCACUCGAGUCUCUUGUUUUGAAAGGCCAUGUGUUUUUGACUGUUUAUGAUGGAUUUGUUGAUUUGCCAUCCCUCAAGAACCUAGAGUUGGAUCUCAAUUAUGUGGACCCAGACUUUGUUUUACUUGGUUGCCCGGUUCUUGAAAAUCUCAAGCUCACUUUACACGAAUCGUUCCCACUUAAUGCGAGCCAACCUCCUGAAAUCUACAUGCCUGUUUCGUUGAAGCGUUUAACCUUAAUACAAGAUGAUGACAUCGAAGAAGAUAUUAAUGAUAUUGAGGAUCUUGUGAUAGACACCCCGUUACUCGAAUACCUAAGUAUCACAUUAUGGGCAAGAUGUUUACAGGUUUCAAUUAGCGAUUAUCCCAACAUGGUGGAAGCUCAUAUUGAUAUUGAUCAAGACCAAGAGCAGGUUGGUUGGGUGCUUGAGCUUCUCAAGGCACUCCGCCAAACAAAACUGUUGGACUUGAAACUUUCCACUAUGGAGUGCUUGCUUGGUGCUCCUGCUUUUGAGUUGCCAGAAUUUCCCCGUUUACUUAAUCUAGAGCUUCAAAUUCCUUAUUUCGACUCGGGAUUUCUGAUAAAAUUGCUUCAUAACUGCCAUAUACUUCAAGUUCUCACUCUUCAUAAUCAGGAGAAUGUUUCCACAGUGGAACCUGAGGAACCUAGUUGUUGGACACUGCCAAUGAAGGAUCCUGAUUGUGUUAUAUCACAUCUCAAGAUGUUAGAAUUUAAAGGAUAUAAAGACUCUGCAGAUGAACAUGCAUUUGUUGCAUAUCUUUUAGAGAGAGGAGCUAUUUUGAAGACAAUGAAAAUCCAUGCUGAUCCUAGUCUUGGCCUAACGUAUAAACAGCGCAUCCACCAGGAAUUAUCUAUGGUACCAAGGAGCUCCAAAACAUGCCAAUUAAUAGUUACCUGAGUAGCCAACAGUUACAUAUGGUACAAUCUCUCACCGUCUCUAUUCUCUCUUCUUGAGUUGCCUUAAAAUUAGUAUUAAAUGAAAGACCGCAUCUUUGGUCCAAUUCAUGCGUCAAUGUCACUUGUUUUCUUCAAAUAUUUGUUGAAGCUUUUGAUUACUUUUUACAUGGAUUAAUUUGUCUGAUCGGAUUAUUUGAAUGACUCUUCAGAUCAUUGCUGGGGUUUGGUUUGGUAGUUUUGGAAUUUGUUUGUACCUUCUCCCUCAAUGUCAAUAGAACUUCUUUGACUUCUUUGAUGUUUGUUUUGCAAAACAUACAGAAGUUUUGCCCUUUAGAAAUUAGAAUAUGCAUAAUUUUCACAAUACAAUGUUUUUUUACUUUUUUGUGGUUGUUUCACAAGACAAACUUGCAGUAAAAAGGUUUAUUGUUUAUUAAUUGUGAGUAUUUUAGCCCCUAAGUUAUGUUCCAAUGCAUAAUAUUUUUGCCCUUUGAUAGAUACUCUGCUGUUUAAUUAUUUUAUUUAUUUUUAGCAUGUAGAGCUCUAUAUAUUGUUUGGAUGUAAAUAGUUAUUCAAACUCUAAAUGUCAUGGUUUGUAAUAAAUGGUUUCUCUAAUUGUGAAUUGAAUUUAGGUAAUUUUUUGCCGAAGUAUUUUAUAGCACAAUAUUGCAGCCUAUAUUAUUAUGCAUUUGCCCGUUUUCUUUUUAGUCUUCCCUAAUUGUUAUAUAUAUAGCCCAUGUUGCAGUCUUUUUAGCUUUAAUAGAAAUUUAUCUAGGUGCCUGGUUUGCUAUGCAACAAGUCUAUGGUCAAAAGAUUGUUGUUUAAUGUUUAGUUAAUCAUAUGCUUUUAAUCUCAAUAGAAAUGACAUUCAAGAGGCAUGAAUGAUUGUUUAAUAUAACUAUUUCGUGCUGAGAAUAUUGAAGAUUGGGUACACAAGCUUCCUUCCUCUUGUGGUUCGGGAAGGGUAAAUGCAUCAACCUUGCCACUGCAAUCCUCAAAUCACUUUAUGUAUUUAACACUUUUGAGUAGAUGACAGCUUCCUUGCCUUGUAGUAAUGUGUAACUAACUCUUGCUAUAAUGGACAAUUGGAAAUAGAUGUAAUGGGAUUAGAGGAACAUCCACCGUAUGUUAUGAUACAUAUGAAUGAUAUGAUGUAUAGUAUUAAUGCAUGCUUUUCAAAACUAUGAUUAUCCAUGUCAUAUAA